UCCGAGCUGAGCCUGACUUGGGGCUCCAUUUCACAACUGUGAGGUCAUGACCUGAGCCAAAAUCAAGAGGACACCUAACCGACAGAGCACCCAGGUGCCCCAAGACUAACCAUUUUAAAGUGAACGAUUCGGGAACAUUUGCUCCAUUCACAAUGUCGUGCAACCGUCACGUGUCUGGUUCUGGAACACUCAUCGGGGAGGCCCCCGUCCGUCGGCAGGGCACCCCCAUGCCCUUGCCCCAGGCCCGGCCACCACGGCCCCUUUCUGUCCGUGGGUUUGCCCGCUGCGGGCAUGUCGUGUGCCUGAACUCCUGCGGUCCUCAUGCUGUGGCGCCCGGCUUCUCUUACCCAGCGCGGCGUUUUCCAGGUCCUUCCAGGUCCUUCCACGUUGCAGUGUGGGCCAGUCCUGCAUCCCUUGUGAUGGCUGCAUAGUAGCGCCCUGUGGAUUCUUUAACCUCUACGUUUUUCAUGGAACUGAAACGUCUCAGGACCGAGGACGCUGGCUUUCCUUAAAAACGGCGAGGGCAGUAUCUGCAAACCCUCCUUCGCGUGUCCUGUGGGAAAGUGUGUGGGCAGCCUCCCCGCCGGCAGCCUCUGCCAGCACCGAAGGCGCGGCCGGGCGGUGAGGACGGCGAGACCUGGUUCUCCCUGGCUGGCCCUCUCAGAGCUCAGCAGGGAGGGCGGGGGGAGGGACGCGCUGCUGGCUGGGAGGGGAGACGAGUGCCAGAGGUGGGACACAGCGCGCUGCCCGAAGACCCCGCACGCUGGGCAGGGCGUUCACGUGGGGCUGUUCCUUCGUCCGUGUGCAGAGGGCUCCGCCGGUUGGGGCUGCGUCCCAGGAAGGCCGGUUCCGGGGUCCCCUCUCUCCGCGUCUCCCCUCUCCGUGGUCCCGCAGCGGAGCUGGAGUCAGCAUACGGUUUCAAAUUCUGAGCGGUGCCCAGGCCGGGAGCAGAGGACCCCACAGACGUGGAAAAGCCCCUGUGCCUGAGAGCAGGUGGGGGCAGGAGGGGGCCGCGGGGGUGUGCAGCCAGGGCCGCGGGCCCUGGCUCACAGUUGCCGUCGAUGGCUGUCUGCGGCUGGCGGUUCCUGCGAGUGGCCAGAGGCUGCGGGGUGCCUUUCUUCCCACCACUCCGUCCCCCACCGUCGGGGUCUCUCUGCCUGGUCUCCGCAUCCCCUGUGUGAGCCUCAGCCGUGUCCCUCCCCACCUCCCCGGGCCCGUCCACUCCUGGGCCUGGCUCUCUGGUCCUGCGAAGGGCUCCCGCCUGCCCUGCUCGAGCUCCCACGCUGCGGCAGGGGGCCCAGAAGCAGCAUCGUGUCCGUGAAGAGAACAUCAUGUCCGUGUCCCUGCGUGCACCAGGACCCUGUGUGGCGAGUCUGGGCUGGAGUUCUGAGCAGGUAGAAGGUCCUCCCAGCUCCAGUCAGCUCGCCCUCCUCCUGCGACAUCCUGAGUGGAUUAACAGGGAGGGGAGGGCAUGGGGGGCAGGGGGCUCAGCCACCUGCCCGGCUGCCCCCCAGGGGGUUGCAGGUGGGCGCCCCGGGCUUCUGCCCCACCCGGCUCGUGUGAGUACAGAGGAGGGGGCUGGGUCUGCUCGGGGCGGCUCGGGGUCACUCCUGCUGCCCCUGGGUCUGGUUACAAAGGCACAUGGAGAACGUGGGUGGCUGCCUAAGCCUCUGGAAGCCCAAGAAUGUGCAGAGGGCUCAUCGUGGCCUCAGGUCUCCUGGUUGGUUGGGCGAAUUUGCUUUUAUUUCUAGGCAGAGACCACACGGAGAGACCUUUUAUGGCCUGGCAGACGCGUCUGGCAGAUGCCCCCGCCCGAGCAUUUCCAUCAGGCAGGCAGGCUGUGAGUGGACCGGCCGGCCGGCAUCACCGGGCUCUGCCAGUGUGGACACCCACACGGGUCUGCCGGGCAGUGGGGGACCGAGGGGCCGUGUCUGAAGGACAAACAGGAACGUGAGGGGGCAGCCACACCUGCCAUGGUGCACCGUCGGCAACCUGCGUGGGACUGUGCUGUCCGGCAGGCCCUGGGUACUUUCCUUCCAGCAUUCUGGAAGAACAAGGACAGAGAGCACAUCUAGUUUGCUCAGAUGUCGGGCGGAAGUUUGGAUGAUGGGACAUUUCAUACAAUUCUUUUAAUUAAAAAAAUCCUUUGUUUUUA